CGUUCAAAAUCCGAGCCCUAAUUCCCUUCCCGCUCAAAUCUCUCUAAAAUCCCAAUUUCGUAUCAAUACUCUCUCUCUCUCUACAAACCCUCAUCUCUCUGAACUCCCACCUUGCUCGCAUCCACGAUCACACCCUAAUGUUGUUGUUCCUCUUCUCCAUGUGUCUUCCUCUUCUUCCAAAUUUCUCUUGCUGGUGAAAAUUUCUGUUGCUACAUUAGCUUCCCCAAUGACUUGAUUGAAACUUACCCUCUUGAGCCUAAAAUUUUGGUUUUCCCGCGAUAUACUCCCUCGUAUUGAUCGAUAACACCAUCUUCCUCCAUCGUAGGCCCUAAUUCGUCUUCUUCUUCUUCUUGAGGCUCAUACGACUGGGGAAACGAAAUGGUUUAGAUGAUGGUUUAGCUACAUGCCUACAUCAUCCUCUAAUUAGUUGUGGUUCCUGAGAAACGAAAUGGUUUAGAUGAUGCUUUAGACCGACUGGGAACUCCAUUAGUGAGAAAAAUUCCUCUGCGCAAUCUUCGAAUCAACCCCUUGAACGAGAGGGUUUUGGGUAUCACAAAACCAUAAGUUAUUUUUCCCUCUCUCCCAUCAUCUCCCUGGGUAUCUAGGUCUGGAACUAUCUCUUGCUCCUCUGGUCCCCAAUAGCUGAAACCCCAAAUACUAGUACAUUAUUUUCCUCUCUCACUUCAAUUUCUUCUGGUUUUUGGUUAUUUGGUUCAUGACUUACAAUUAAAUCAUCACACAAGAGGAAUCCGUGGUGAAGGUGGAAGGAAUUUCAUCACUGCUCACUCAGAAGAUUGGGGUUUCACACCAGCAAAGAACGGACAGCAAGGAGCUCUUAUUGAUCUCUUGAGGCCGUCUUUAGAUGGGCAGACAUCAAUCUCAUUGGAGUCGAGGAACCCAAGUAUAUUCCUAGAGGAGAAUUUAGAGGUAUUCCCACCCCUUCUUUUUUCAAACAACCUAUUGAAUCACAGUGGAUUUUGUAGUUCGAGCUUGAGAGGGUUUUUUUUUUGCUUUCAAGUUGUCAUUGGAUUUUCAUUUACUUAAUGUGGUGAUGAAAGCUUUCAUAUCAAUAAAUAUAUAAAAUGAAGAUGAUAUAUAAGUUAUUAACAUAAAUUUUAAUUUGGAUGACCAUAUGCAUGCAUAAUAUGUUGUAUGACAGGGAUGCUUAUUAAAUUAAUUCUUUAUGGUUCA